rnacentral:rRNA from 1 species
UCUGGUUGAUCCUGCCAGUAGUGAUAUGCUUGUUUCAAAGAUUAAGCCAUGCAUGUCUAAGUAUAAGCGAACUUAUACAGUAAAACUGCGGAUGGCUCAUUAAAACAGUUUGAAUUUAUUUGAUGAAUGUAUGAGAAUACUACUUGGAUAACCGUAGUAAUUCUAGAGCUAAUACAUGCAACGACGCCCGACCGUUUCACUACGGAAGGGCUGUAUUUAUUGGAUACCAAAACCAUCCUUCCCUCGGGAAGUUUUGUUUGAUGAUUCACAAUAACUGAUCGGAUCGCCACUGUGGUGGCGACAGGUCAUUCAACAUUCUGCCCUAUCAGCUUUCGAUGGUUGUGUAGUGGACAACCAUGGCCAUAACGGGUAACGGAGAAUCAGGGUUCGAUUCCGGAGAAGGAGCUUGAGAAUUGGCUACUACAUCUAAGGAAGGCAGCAGGCGCGCAAAUUACCCAAUCCCGAUUCGGGGAGGUAGUGACAAAAAAUAACAAUACCGGGCCUUUUUGGGCUUGGUAAUUGGAAUGAGGGAGAGUUAAACGGACCAUCGAGUAUCCAUUGGAGGGCAAGUCUGGUGCCAGCAGCUGCGGUAAUACCAGCUCCAAUAGCGUAUAUUAAAGUUGUUGCAGUUAAAAAGCUCGUAGUUGGACUUGUGUGCGCUGUCCGCGGGUGGCCUGCGCCCAAAAGGGCGUUUCGGUUCGGCCCCGGUGGCGCCUUGAAAUCUGCAGCUGGGGGGACGUUGGCCUUAACUGGUCGGCGACCGCACGCCGGCUGCUCGGUUACUGUGAGAAAAUUAGAGUGUUCAAGGCAGGCAUUGGGUGCAAUUGAAUACAUUAGCAUGGAAUAAUAAAAUAUGGCUCCUGCCGUAUUUUGUUGGUUUUCACUGGUGGGAGUAAUGAUUGAUAGGGACGGUUGGGGGUGCUAGUAUUGAGCGGCCAGAGGUGAAAUUCAUGGAUUCGCUCAAGACUAACUUAUGCGAAAGCAUUCACCAAGGACGUCCUCUUUAAUCAAGAACGAAAGUUGGGGGAUCGAAGACGAUCAGAUACCGUCGUAGUCUCAACCAUAAACUAUGUCGACUUGGGAUCGGCGGUAGUUUUUUCAUUAAGACACUGUCGGGACCACGGGAGAAAUCAAAGUGUCUGGACUCUGGGGGAAGUAUGGUCGCAAGGCUGAAACUUGAAGGAAUUGACGGAAGGGCACCACCAGGAGUGGAGCCUGCGGCUUAAUUUGACACAACACGGGGAAACUUACCAGGUCCAGAGAUGUAGAGGAUUGACAGAUUGAAGCUCUUUCUUGAUCACUUCGGUGGUGGUGCGUGGCCGUUCUUAGUUGGUGGAGUG